AUGGACUACCUUUAUGAAAAAACAGUAACAAUCCAGCCAUGAAGAUACAGCCCUGGAUGGUUUAUUCUUCUCAGUGCAAUUUAAUUUACUUUAUUUUUUUUAAGAUUUAUUUAUCUAUUUGAAAGUCAGAGUUACACAGAGAAAAGAGAGGCAGAGAGAGAGAGAGGGAGAGAGAGAGGUCUUCCAUCUGCUGGUUCACUCCCCAGUUGGCUGCAAUGGCCGGAGCUGCACUGAUCCGAAGCCAGGAGCCAGGAGCCAGGAGCUUCCCCCAGGUCUCAAAUGCAGGCGCAGGGGCCCAAGGACCUGGGCCAUCCUCCACUGCCCUCCCAGGCCAUCACAGAGAGCCGGACCAGAAGUGGAGCAGCUGGGUCUCGAACCGGUGCUCACACAGCCAGGGCGCCAACCCACUGCACCACAGCGCCGGCCCCUGAAUUUACUUUAAAUAAAUGUCCACUACAUUCAAGGCCUUGUGAUGGCUCCUUGGAGCUAUAAGGAUGAAUGUAAUGGUGGUUAUAUGAGAGCAUUUUUUUAAAGUUCAUGGGAAAAUGGAAUCAAAUGAUAAGCUUAGGGGCCAGUGCUGUGAUGUAGUGGGCUAAAGCCUCCUCUUGCGGUGCUGGCAUCCCAUAUAGGCACCGGUUUGAGUACCGGCUGCUCUACUUCCAUUCUAGCUCCCUGUUAAUGCACUUUGGAAAGCAGCGGAAGAUAAUCCAAGCCCUUGGGCCCUUUACCCACGUGGGAGACCUGGAAGAAGCUCCUGGUUCUGUGCUUUGGAUUGGCUCAGCUCCAGUCAUUGUAGCCAUUGGGGGAGUGAACCAGUGGAUGGAAGAUCUCUCUCUUUCUCUCUCUUGCUCUCGCUCUCUCUGUCUCUGCCUCUCUGUAACUCUGCCUCUCACGUAAAUAAAUAAUUUUUUUUAAAAAAAAACAAGCUUAUUUUGGUGCAAAAAUGUUGAAUUUCAUGCAUAGUUUUUGAUAAUGCACAUUUUCCAUGAGUUUGAAGACACAUCUAUACGUGAAUCUCAGCAUGUUUUGGUACCAGAAUAAAGCUGUCCUUUUCAGUCCGUUUUCCACAAACCUCUUGAAGCGCCUCCUGAGGCUGAGAUGGCAAUCUGCUGUAUCUUCCUCCUCAGCAAGCGCCCUCUGCCCUUCCCUCUGUGUGACCACUGAAGUUUUUGCCAGGAAGCUAACUUUCUGGGAAGGACGUGGCAGGUACUACCUGAAGAUGAGCCAGCAUACUGGAGUCCAGGGGAAGCCUGGAUGGGAGUGUAUCAAGAGGGCUGGAGAGCGAAUGAAGCACGCGACCGACAUAUCAGUUUAGGUCCUGGAGAUUGAUGGAGUUAAAGCACUUCCUACAAUUUACCUGGCAUGCCACUGAACUCUACAUAGCUGUUUUUUGCCAAAUGAGAAGUCAAGUUACAACAUUUUUACAAAGUGUAAUCUCAUUUUAAAAUGCAUAGGCAUAGAGAAGGGUGCUGUGGUGCAGCGAGUAAAGCCACCACCUACAAUGCCGGCAUCCCAUAUGGGCACUGGUUCUAGUCUCAGCUGCUCCACUUCCCAUCCAGCUCUCUGCUAUGGCCUGGGAAAGCAGUGGAAGAUGGCCCAAGAGCUUGGGCCCCUGCACCCAUGUGGGAGACCUGGAAGAAGCUCCUGGCUCUUGGCUUCAGAUCAGGGCAAUAAACCAGCAUAUGGAAGAUCUCUCUCUCUCUCU
ensembl:lncRNA